rnacentral:rRNA from 1 species
UUCCGGUUGAUCCUGCCGGAAGGCUACCGCUAUCGGAGUCCGAUUUAGCCAUGCUAGUCUACCGGCCUUUGGCCGGGGCAGAUAGCUGAGUAACACGUGACUAACCUGCCCUGUGGAUGGAGAUAACCUCGCUAACGUGAGGCUAAUAUCCAAUAGCAGAUGGUUGCUGGAAAGCGCCGUCUGUGAAAUGUUCCGACGCCACAGGAUGGAGUCGCGGCUGAUUAGGUAGUUGGUGAGGCAACGGCUCACCAAGCCGAUAAUCAGUAGCAGCCGUGAGAGCGGAAGCUGCCAGUCGGCUUCUGAGACAAGAAGCCGGGCCCUACGGGGCGCAGCAGGCACGAAACCUUCACAAUGCACGAGAGUGCGAUGGGGGGACUCCGAGUGCAAUCUUCCCACAAGGAAGGUUGCUUUUCUGCACUGUAAGGAGGUGCCGGAACAAGGGGUGGGCAACACUGCUGCCAGCCGCCGCGGUAAUAGCAGGACCCCAAGUGGUAGUCGUUAUUAUUGGGCUUAAAGUGUUCGUAGCCUGCCAUGUAAGUCCGCUGUGAAAUCCACAUGCUCAACAUGUGGGCGUGCAGCGGAUACUGCAUGGCUAGGGACCGGACGGCGUCGAGGCUAUUCCCUGGGUAGGAGUGAAAUCCUAAAAUCCAGGGAGGAGCACCUGUGGCGAAAGCGCUCGGCGAGUACGGAUCCGACGGUGAGGAACGAAAGCCAGGGGAGCAAAGCGGAUUAGAUACCCGCGUAGUCCUGGCCGUUAACAAUGUGCGUUUGAUGUCGGACAACCUCCGAGGUUGUCCGGUGCCGAAGUGAAAACGUUAAACGCACCGCCUGGGAAGUACGGUCGCAAGGCUGAAACUUAAAGGAAUUGACGGGGGAGCACCACAACCGGUGGAGGCUGCGGUUUAAUUAGAUCCAACGCAGAGUACCCUACCAGAGCCGACAGCAGGAUGACGGUCAGCUUGAAGAGCUUACCUGACGCGCUGAGAGGAGCUGCAUGGCCGCCGUCAGCUCGUGCUGUGAAGUGUCCGGUUAAGUCCGGUAACGAGCGAGACCCGCAUCACAUGUUGCCAUGGAUCCCUUCGGGGAUUCGGCACUCGUGUGAGACCGCUGGCGAUAAGCCAGGGGAAGGAGCGGGCCACGGUAGGUCAGUAUGGCCCGAAUGCUCUGGGAUACACGCGGCC